ensembl:lncRNA
CCCGGCACCGGGCGCCCCUCAGUUUCCCGCGGAGCCCACACCCGCCUGCCCGCACACCCCAGGCUACAGUUCGCCCUCGCCCUUCCCCGGACCUAGCGCGCCUGAGACCUGAAGGAGCCCGGGCGCUCUCGCCGGAUAAAUACGCGCGAGCCUGCAGACGCACGCCUGCGCGGCCUCGAUGAAAUCCCGGACUUCUCCCGGCUCGGCCACCCGGUUUAGAAACUCCUCUCCGCCCCGCUCAGACGGGACGCGGAGCUGGAUCUGCUGCCCGCGGCCCCGAGCUGCGGCCUGCAGCCCUGCUGUUCUCCCCUCCAUGUCUCCAGGCCAACCCCAAUCCCGCGUCCCAGUUCUAGACAAGAUGGAGCAGACAUACUUCUCCGUAUUCCUCUCUCUGAGUACAUCUAAAUCCCGGGGCACUAUGCAGACAUCAAAGGUAAGAAGACUGACAGGCGGAAGGCUAGGGAGAUCAGACUGGAGAAAUGACG